AUGUGGAACAAGUUUGUUGUUAAUGAUGGAUUUGUGUUUCGUGCUAACAAGCUAUGCAUUCCAGCUAGCUCCGUUCGUCUUUUGUUGUUGCAGGAGGCGCAUGGAGGAGGAUUAAUGGGACACUUCGUCGUGAAGAAGACGGAGGACGUACUUGCUACACAUUUCUUUUGGCCAAAGAUGAGACGGGAUGUUGAGCGUUUUAUUGCUCGCUGCACUACAUGUCAAAAAGCUAAGUCACGACUCAAUCCUCAUGGUUUAUAUAUGCCUUUGCCUGUACCUAGUGUUCCUUGGGAGGAUAUAUCUAUGGACUUUGUUUUAGGUUUACCUCGAACAAAGAAGGGGAGGGAUAGCAUAUUUGUUGUCGUGGAUAGAUUCUCGAAAAUGGCACACUUUAUACCAUGUCAUAAAAGCGAUGAUGCUGUUAAUGUUGCUGAUUUGUUCUUUCGUGAAAUUAUUCGCUUGCAUGGUGUGCCAAAUACUAUUGUUUCAGAUCGUGAUACUAAAUUUCUUAGCCACUUUUGGAGAUGUUUAUGGGCUAAGUUGGGGACUAAACUGCUUUUUAGUACUACUUGUCACCCCCAAACUGAUGGACAAACUGAAGUAGUCAAUAGAACGUUGUCUACUAUGCUUAGGGCUGUUUUGAAGAAUAAUAAGAAAAUGUGGGAGGAAUGCUUGCCUCAUAUUGAAUUUGCUUAUAAUCGUUCAUUGCAUUCUACUACUAAGAUGUGCCCUUUUGAAGUUGUGUAUGGUUUCCUACCUCGUGCACCUAUUGAUUUGUUGCCUCUUCCAUCUUCGGAGAAGGUUAAUUUUGAUGCUAAACAACGUGCUGAAUUGAUUUUAAAAAUGCAUGAGUUAACUAAGGAAAACAUUGAGCGUAUGAAUGCUAAAUAUAAACUUGCUGGAGAUAAGGGUAGAAAACAUGUUGUGUUUGCACCUGGAGAUCUUGUUUGGUUACAUUUGCGCAAGGAUAGAUUUCCUGAUUUGCGCAAAUCAAAGCUAAUGCCACGUGCUGAUGGUCCCUUUAAGGUGUUAGAGAAAAUAAAUGAUAAUGCAUAUAAACUUGAGCUGCCUGCAGAUUUUGGGGUUAGUCCCACUUUUAACAUUGCAGAUUUGAAGCCUUAUUUGGGUGAGGAAGAUGAACUUCCGUCGAGGACGACUUCAUUUCAAGAAGGGGAGGAUGAUGAGGACAUCAAUACAAUUGUUACACCCACAGCCCCUGCUGCUAUACAUACUGGGCCAAUUACUAGAGCUCGUGCACGCCAACUAAAUUACCAGGUACUUUCGUUUCUUGGUAAUGAUUCUAAUGUUCAUGAGAAUAUGAUGCUGCCUAAAUUGGAUACAUUUGUUUUGCUUACAAAUGAAGGGCCUAGCUUGGAGAAGGAUGAACAUUGGAGCAAGAACAAGCAUGGAGAUGAUGGCAUGCGCAAGGGGAACAAGAACGGAGUUACAAGUGAUGAUUUCAGGACUUUGAAGCCACCAUAA
rnacentral:rRNA from 1 species